GACGAGGUGCACAAACGUUAUUCGGAAUUACUGGGCUUAAAGCGUGCGUAGGCGGCCUAGCAAGUCGGGUGUGAAAGCCCUCGGCUCAACCGAGGAAUUGCGCCCGAAACUGCUGGGCUUGAGUGAGAACAGAGGUGAGCGGAACUGAUGGUGGAGCGGUGAAAUGCGUUGAUAUCAUCAGGAACACCGGUGGCGAAGGCGGCUCACUGGGUCUCUACUGACGCUGAGGAGCGAAAGCCAGGGAGCA
rnacentral:rRNA from 1 species